GAAUACUGGAGACAGGUGGCUGCAUGGCUGUCGUCAGCUCGUGUCGUGAGAUGUUGGGUUAAGUCCCGCAACGAGCGCAACCCUUGCCUUUAGUUGCCAGCAGUUCGGCUGGGCACUCUAAAGGGACUGCCGGUGUUAAACCGGAGGAAGGUGGGGAUGACGUCAAGUCCUCAUGGCCUUUAUGACCAGGGCUACACACGUACUACAAUGGCCGAUACAAAGGGCAGCGACACUGCGAGGUGAAGCCAAUCCCGUAAAAUCGGUCUCAGUCCGGAUUGGAGUCUGCAACUCGACUCCAUGAAGUUGGAAUCGCUAGUAAUCGUGGAUCAGCAUGCCACGGUGAAUACGUUCCCGGGCCUU
rnacentral:rRNA from 1 species